AUUGAACGCUGGCGGCAGGCCUAACACAUGCCAGUCGAACGGUAACAGGAAGAAGCUUGCUUCUUUGCUGACGAGUGGCGGACGGGUGAGUAAUGUCUGGGAAACUGCCUGAUGGAGGGGGAUAACAACUGGAAACGGUAGCUAAUACCGCAUAACGUCGCAAGACCAAAGAGGGGGACCUUCGGGCCUCUUGCCAUCGGAUGUGCCCAGAUGGGAUUAGCUAGUAGGUGGGGUAACGGCUCACCUAGGCGACGAUCCCUAGCUGGUCUGAGAGGAUGACCAGCCACACUGGAACUGAGACACGGUCCAGACUCCUACGGGAGGCAGCAGUGGGGAAUAUUGCACAAUGGGCGCAAGCCUGAUGCAGCCAUGCCGCGUGUAUGAAGAAGGCCUUCGGGUUGUAAAGUACUUUCAGCGGGGAGGAAGGGAGUAAAGUUAAUACCUUUGCUCAUUGACGUUACCCGCAGAAGAAGCACCGGCUAACUCCGUG
rnacentral:rRNA from 1 species